ensembl:lncRNA
CCCAAAUCCAGGCUGUGGAUCCUGCCAAUAGUAGAGGGACUUCUUUGCUUUGUUUGUUUGUUGUGUUGUUCUUUCUUCUUACACCUUCUUUUUCCCACACCACUGCUCUUUCCCGUUCCCCACAAACCCACUCGAUGGAUUUAACACAGCACAUUUCUCCACUAACCCUCUGAUCUGUGCUGAGAAAACACGAUGAAGUCAUUGCGAGUCCCGAAAACAGGAAGGAGUCCGCCCUCCUUGCAGCACUCGGAGGGAGCUCUGCAGCCAGGAGGAGGCCCAAAGCACAAGUGUCUGUGGGCAAAACCUGACUCCUGCAAUCUGCCCGCAUGGAUUGGGCUGUUGAGCUCAGUUUUCAGCGGCAAGCUGAGGAUUGCCAUCCCUGCUUUCAUGAAGACCACAUUACACACCUUGCAGCUGGCUCUGUGGGAUGACCCACCUGCACAAAACCCCUCUGAAAGGGAAACACGUCACCCAGAGCUGUCCCACCUGCAGAGCUCUGGGUCCUGGCCAGGCACUGUGUUCCCUUGGGGGGUUUUGCAUGGCUGAGGAUGAGACUCUCCGUUGCAAGGAGUGACACGGAGCAGGUUCCUCCAGAUCAGAGCUCCACUGUGAACCAACCGGCCGAUCCACGCAGACCGUGGCCACGCGCAGCCCUCACACCGCCGGCCCCUUCGCCCGCAUUGCCCCAGCUUGGUGCACCCCUUUGCCGCAACACUGCUUGGCCAAAGCACGGGAGGAGCUGCGAUCCACGCCUCGCUGAGACCCAUGCGCUUCUUGGAAGGGCACCCCAACCUUCCCCCAUCCUCCUCCGAGCAGCCUUGCUGAGAUAGCCCUGAGCUCGCCAUGAAGCUGCUGAAGGAGCCCGACUCGUAGAUGUUCCCGGCUGCAGG